rnacentral:rRNA from 1 species
GAUGAACGCUGGCGGCGUGCCUAAUACAUGCAAGUCGAGCGAACAGACGAGGAGCUUGCUCCUCUGACGUUAGCGGCGGACGGGUGAGUAACACGUGGAUAACCUACCUAUAAGACUGGGAUAACUUUGGGAAACCGGAGCUAAUACCGGAUAAUAUAUUGAACCGCAUGGUUCAAUAGUGAAAGACGGUUUUGCUGUCACUUAUAGAUGGAUCCGCGCCGCAUUAGCUAGUUGGUAAGGUAACGGCUUACCAAGGCGACGAUGCGUAGCCGACCUGAGAGGGUGAUCGGCCACACUGGAACUGAGACACGGUCCAGACUCCUACGGGAGGCAGCAGUAGGGAAUCUUCCGCAAUGGGCGGAAGCCUGACGGAGCAACGCCGCGUGAGUGAUGAAGGUCUUCGGAUCGUAAAACUCUGUUAUUAGGGAAGAACAAAUGUGUAAGUAACUAUGCACGUCUUGACGGUACCUAAUCAGAAAGCCACGGCUAACUACGUG